rnacentral:rRNA from 1 species
AGUGAACGCUGGCGGUAGGCCUAACACAUGCAAGUCGAACGGCAGCACAGUAAGAGCUUGCUCUUACGGGUGGCGAGUGGCGGACGGGUGAGGAAUACAUCGGAAUCUACUUUUUCGUGGGGGAUAACGUAGGGAAACUUACGCUAAUACCGCAUACGACCUACGGGUGAAAGCAGGGGAUCUUCGGACCUUGCGCGAUUGAAUGAGCCGAUGUCGGAUUAGCUAGUUGGCGGGGUAAAGGCCCACCAAGGCGACGAUCCGUAGCUGGUCUGAGAGGAUGAUCAGCCACACUGGAACUGAGACACGGCCCAGACUCCUACGGGAGGCAGCAGUGGGGAAUAUUGGACAAUGGGCGCAAGCCUGAUCCAGCCAUACCGCGUGGGUGAAGAAGGCCUUCGGGUUGUAAAGCCCUUUUGUUGGGAAAGAAAAGCAGCAGGUUAAUACCCCGCCGUUCUGACGGUACCCAAAGAAUAAGCACCGGCUAACUUCGUG